GAUGAACGCUAGCGGGAGGCCUAACACAUGCAAGCCGAGCGGUAUUGUUUCUUCGGAAAUGAGAGAGCGGCGUACGGGUGCGGAACACGUGUGCAACCUGCCUUUAUCUGGGGGAUAGCCUUUCGAAAGGAAGAUUAAUACUCCAUAAUAUAUUGAACGGCAUCGUUUAAUAUUGAAAGCUUCGGCGGAUAGAGAUGGGCACGCGCAAGAUUAGCUAGUUGGUGAGGUAACGGCUCACCAAGGCGAUGAUCUUUAGGGGGCCUGAGAGGGUGAUCCCCCACACUGGUACUGAGACACGGACCAGACUCCUACGGGAGGCAGCAGUGAGGAAUAUUGGUCAAUGGGUGCAAGCCUGAACCAGCCAUCCCGCGUGAAGGACGACUGCCCUAUGGGUUGUAAACUUCUUUUGUAUAGGGAUAAACCUACCCUCGUGAGGGUAGCUGAAGGUACUAUACGAAUAAGCACCGGCUAACUCCGUGCCAGCCGCCGCCGUAA
rnacentral:rRNA from 1 species